rnacentral:rRNA from 1 species
UACGAAGGGGGCGAGCGUUGUCCGGAUUUAUUGGGUUUAAAGGGUGCGUAGUUGGGAUAGUAAGUCAGAGGUGAAAGCUAGCAGCUUAACUGUUAAAUUGCCUUUGAUACUGCUGUUCUUGAGUGUAGUUGGCGUUGGCGGAAUGUGACAUGUAGCGGUGAAAUGCGUAGAUAUGUCACAGAACACCGAUCGCGAAGGCAGCUAACGAAGCUAUCACUGACACUGAUGCACGAAAGCGUGGGGAGCAAACAGG